ACUUAAAUAGUUUAAUAAAAAUUUUGAUUUGUGGAAUCAAGGAUAUAAAUUUACUUUAUUUUAAGUU
rnacentral:tRNA from 1 species